UACGUAGGUGGCAAGCGUUGUCCGGAUUUAUUGGGCGUAAAAGGCUUGUAGGUGGCCACGCCAAGUCGGAUGUGAAAUCUCCCGGCUCAACUGGGAGGGGUCAUUCGAUACUGGCGGGCUCGAGGCCGGUAGGGGGAAGUGGAAUUCCCGGUGUAGUGGUGGAAUGUGUAGAUAUCGGGAGGAACACCAGUGGCGAAGGCGGCUUACUGGUCCGGUUCUGACGCUGAGGCGCGAAAGCCAGGGGAGCGAACAGG
rnacentral:rRNA from 1 species